rnacentral:SRP_RNA from 1 species
CGUCGGGUCCCGGGCGACCGGGUGCGGCGAACCCCGCCAGGUCCGGAAGGAAGCAACGGUAGUCGAAUACCCGGUGUGUCCGGCCGACCCGGCGAUC